GAUGAACGCUAGCGGCAGGCCUAAUACAUGCAAGUCGGACGGGAUUUGGGAGCUUGCUCCUGAUGAGAGUGGCGCGCGGGUGCGUAACACGUAUGUAACCUACCUUAAUCUGGGGGAUAGCCUCUCGAAAGAGAGAUUAACACCGCAUAACAUUAUUGAAUAGCAUUAUUUAAUAAUCAAAUAUUUAUAGGAUUAAGAUGGGUAUGCGGAACAUUAGCUAGUUGGUGUGGUAACGGCAUACCAAGGCUACGAUGUUUAGGUGAUCUGAGAGGAUGACCCCCACCACUGGUACUGAGACACGGACCAGACUCCAACGGGAGGCAGCAGUAAGGAAUAUUGGUCAAUGGACGCAAGUCUUAACCAGCCAUGCCGCGUGCAGGAAGACGGCCCUACGGGUUGUAAACUGCUUUUGCAGGGGAAUAAACCUUCGUAUGUAUACGAAGCUGAAUGUACUCUGAGAAUAAGGAUCGGCUAACUCCGUGCCAGCCGCCGCGGUAACAC
rnacentral:rRNA from 1 species